UGGGGAAUAUUGGACAAUGGGCGCAAGCCUGAUCCAGCCAUGCCGCGUGAGUGAUGACGGCCCUAGGGUUGUAAAGCUCUUUUACCCGGGAAGAUAAUGACGGUACCGGGAGAAUAAGCCCCGGCUAACUUCGUGCCAGCAGCCGCGGUAAUACGAAGGGGGCUAGCGUUGUUCGGAAUCACUGGGCGUAAAGCGCACGUAGGCGGAUCUUUAAGUCAGGGGUGAAAUCCCGGGGCUCAACCCCGGAACUGCCUUUGAUACUGGAGAUCUCGAGUUCGGGAGAGGUGAGUGGAACUGCGAGUGUAGAGGUGAAAUUCGUAGAUAUUCGCAAGAACACCAGUGGCGAAGGCGGCUCACUGGCCCGAUACUGACGCUGAGGUGCGAAAGCGUGGGGAGCAAACAGG
rnacentral:rRNA from 1 species